AUGAGUCGGUGAGCAGCUGACGGUCCCCUAGUUGGGGCUGAGGAAACUCCACUCACCAUACAGAACCGCGAUGUCGUGAGGCAUAGGGCGAGAGCUCGGACAACAGAGCAGAAACGCGACGUCCAUCAGCUAGAUGACGAGGAUACGUUCCAACGUUGAGGAAGUUGAUGGUUUCGAUGAAACGGCUGAUCCGCGGGGUGCAAGGGCAAAUAGGCGCUGAUGAAUUCUGUAUGAAGCGCGGGUAGCCUGCUUAGCUGAAUGCUGCUUAAAACAGAAAGUGGGUUACGGCCGACACAU
rnacentral:RNase_P_RNA from 1 species